CCGCUUCCGGAUGGGCCCGCGUCCCAUCAGCUAGUUGGUGGGGUAAUGGCCCACCAAGGCGACGACGGGUAGCCGGCCUGAGAGGGUGGCCGGCCACAGGGGCACUGAGACACGGGCCCC
rnacentral:rRNA from 1 species